rnacentral:lncRNA from 1 species
CUUGAUUAUGACUCAAGUCUCCCUGGAUACCCAGAGUUGUGCUCCUCAACUGCACUCAGCCCUCAAGGUCACAGAGUAGUUAGGUGGUCUACGUAAAACUUGCCUGUCCUGACCAUCAAGCGACUACUCUGAGUUGUGCCAAGCAGAUGAGCCCAAAGCCCAAGAGGAGGGUCUGCCAGAAGCCCAUCCAUUUCAUUGCUGCUUCACUGUUCUACCUUGGACAGAGUUGUGUUACAAGCCAGCUUCAAACACCCUCAAGGAAGACACAUGCCAUAUUUUUCUGGCUUCAUUCAGGAACACAAAAAGGAGGCUUGCUGCUCUGCAUGAUGUUUGUUCCACAGAACUCAGGAUCUGGGUGAUAGCCUUCUCUGUGAACUGUCCCCCGAAAUAUGUCACCAUCACACCUCAAUAAUUUCUUAUUUUGCCAAAGGCUACAGUAUGGGAAGUAUGUUCAAGAAUUCUUGGCCCCCAGGGAUGAGUCUGUACACCUAGGUGUUCUGUGCCUGCUCAAGGCUAAAGGAUUCUGUGAGACCAAACUGGAGCACCUAUGUCAGAUGGCUCACAGACACCUGUAACUCCAGCUCCAGAGAAUCUGACACUCUUCAAAUUGUCUUCUGGCACAGGCAUACACAUGGCUUGCACACACACAUC